CCCAGCUGGAGAAAGGCUGGUCCAGAUGCUGGACUGAUGACCCGGCGGGUCCCCUUCCAGCUCCGCAAUGAAACGGAAGAGGAAGCCUUGGGGAGAAGCCCAGAAUCUCAGGCUUGGAAGGCACCCAAAGGACAUCUAGUCCAGCCCCUGCAAUGCAGGAAUCUCUGCUCAGCUCCCCAGUGCAGGCGGCCCUCCACCUUCUGCUCAGAAACCUCCAAGGAAGGAGAGGCCGCCAUCUCUCCUGGGGGUGACAGGGCCCAGCAGCUCUUCAGUUUUUCCAAAUGCUUUUCCAAAUGAAACGGAAAACUGCAGCCCAGACCUAAAUCGCAGAUCUGCAUCCCCCAGACUGAAGAGGAAGCCUCUCACUCUUCUUUCCGGUUGGGACUGCCUGCAUUUGGGCCUUCAAUAUUUCACCUUUGAGAAGCUCCCAUUUAUUUCAGUAUUUCAGAACAUAAGAUCUCACCCAUACCUCCUUAAGCCUUUUUUAAUUGGCCGCCUUAAAGUGAAUUCCUGACUACACUCAGCUUGCGUUUCCCUCUGUCUCAGGGGAGGACAUGAUCACUUCCUCCCAAGUUUCCCAGUACUUCCACUUGCUUGAUCAGUUCCCAUCUGUUGUUGAGGACUAGGUCCAAGACAGAUGAUCCCCUUCUUGUUUCUUCCACCUUCUGGGUCAUGAAAUUGUCAGUGAGGCAAUUCUGCAUGGUCGCUUUCCUUAGACCAGGGCUAGACGCUUCCUUCUCUCUCUUCUUCCUUUUUUCCUGUUAAUGAAAGUUCAGAGUCGGGGCUGUGGUGCAGUCCAGCCCUGGCUCCUAGCAAGACUCAGCCACGCUUGCUCAGGAAACAUUUCUCUUCUCCUGACCAUGUAUCAGUCUGAUAACAGACCAAUAUGUUUGCUUUGUAGGCUUUGCUAGCACCUCUAAAUCGGACCAUCAGAACUUGGCAGAAAACGAAAGGAUUCCUUCCGAUCUCUUGGAGGCUUCAUGAGAGCCCAGAUGGAUGAGCAAGACUCAGCUGGCCCUGAAGCAGGAGGAGGCCCUGCCCUCCAAACUGGGAGCAGUGGGAGAUUAUGGGAAAACUCAGAGCAGAAGAUCCCAGGUGAGGAGGACACCCUCUGCUCAGAGGUGCAGAGCCAGCAGUUGACGCAGUCCGGCUCUCAGGAGGCCAAAGGACCCCGAGAGGCUUGCGGCCGACUCCACCACCUCAACUGUCAGUGGCUGAAGCCAGAAAGUCAUACGAAAGCUCAGAUGCUGGACCUGGUGAUCUUGGAGCAGUUCCUGGCUGUCCUUCCGCUGGAGAUGGAGAGCUGGGUGAGGGAAUGUGGAGCAGAGACCAGUUCCCAGGCUGUAGCCCUGGCUGAAGGUUUCCUCCUGAGUCAGGCGGAGAGGAG